AGCGUACACGGUGGAUGCCCUGGCAGUCAGAGGCGAUGAAGGACGUGCUAAUCUGCGAAAAGCGUCGGUAAGGUGAUAUGAACCGUUAUAACCGGCGAUGUCCGAAUGGGGAAACCCAGUGUGAUUCGUCACACUAUCGUUAACUGAAUACAUAGGUUAACGAGGCGAACCGGGGGAACUGAAACAUCUAAGUACCCCGAGGAAAAGAAAUCAACCGAGAUUCCCCCAGUAGCGGCGAGCGAACGGGGAGCAGCCCAGAGUCUGAAUCAGCUUGUGUGUUAGUGGAACGGUCUGGAAAGUCCGACGGUACAGGGUGAUAGUCCCGUACACCAAAAUGCACAGGUUGUGAACUCGAAGAGUAGGGCGGGACACGUGGUAUCCUGUCUGAAUAUGGGGGGACCAUCCUCCAAGGCUAAAUACUCCUGACUGACCGAUAGUGAACCAGUACCGUGAGGGAAAGGCGAAAAGAACCCCGGCGAGGGGAGUGAAAAAGAACCUGAAACCGUGUACGUACAAGCAGUGGGAGCACCUUCGGGUGUGACUGCGUACCUUUUGUAUAAUGGGUCAGCGACUUAUAUUCUGUAGCAAGGUUAACCGUAUAGGGGAGCCGCAGGGAAACCGAGUCUUAACUGGGCGUUAAGUUGCAGGGUAUAGACCCGAAACCCGGUGAUCUAGCCAUGGGCAGGUUGAAGGUUGGGUAACACUAACUGGAGGACCGAACCGACUAAUGUUGAAAAAUUAGCGGAUGACUUGUGGCUGGGGGUGAAAGGCCAAUCAAACCGGGAGAUAGCUGGUUCUCCCCGAAAGCUAUUUAGGUAGCGCCUCGUGAACUCAUCUUCGGGGGUAGAGCACUGUUUCGGCUAGGGGGUCAUCCCGACUUACCAACCCGAUGCAAACUACGAAUACCGAAGAAUGUUAUCACGGGAGACACACGGCGGGUGCUAACGUCCGUCGUGAAGAGGGAAACAACCCAGACCGCCAGCUAAGGUCCCAAAGUCAUGGUUAAGUGGGAAACGAUGUGGGAAGGCACAGACAGCCAGGAUGUUGGCUUAGAAGCAGCCAUCAUUUAAAGAAAGCGUAAUAGCUCACUGGUCGAGUCGGCCUGCGCGGAAGAUGUAACGGGGCUAAACCAUGCACCGAAGCUGCGGCAGCGACACUAUGUGUUGUUGGGUAGGGGAGCGUUCUGUAAGCCUGCGAAGGUGACCUGUGAGGGUUGCUGGAGGUAUCAGAAGUGCGAAUGCUGACAUAAGUAACGAUAAAGCGGGUGAAAAGCCCGCUCGCCGGAAGACCAAGGGUUCCUGUCCAACGUUAAUCGGGGCAGGGUGAGUCGACCCCUAAGGCGAGGCCGAAAGGCGUAGUCGAUGGGAAACAGGUUAAUAUUCCUGUACUUGGUGUUACUGCGAAGGGGGGACGGAGAAGGCUAUGUUAGCCGGGCGACGGUUGUCCCGGUUUAAGCAUGUAGGCUGGUUGUCCAGGCAAAUCCGGAUAAUCAAGGCUGAGGUGUGAUGACGAGGCACUACGGUGCUGAAGUAACAAAUGCCCUGCUUCCAGGAAAAGCCUCUAAGCAUCAGGUAACAUCAAAUCGUACCCCAAACCGACACAGGUGGUCAGGUAGAGAAUACCAAGGCGCUUGAGAGAACUCGGGUGAAGGAACUAGGCAAAAUGGUGCCGUAACUUCGGGAGAAGGCACGCUGGUGUGUAGGUGAAGUCCCUGCGGAUGGAGCUGAGACCAGUCGAAGAUACCAGCUGGCUGCAACUGUUUAUUAAAAACACAGCACUGUGCAAACACGAAAGUGGACGUAUACGGUGUGACGCCUGCCCGGUGCCGGAAGGUUAAUUGAUGGGGUUAUCCGUAAGGAGAAGCUCUUGAUCGAAGCCCCGGUAAACGGCGGCCGUAACUAUAACGGUCCUAAGGUAGCGAAAUUCCUUGUCGGGUAAGUUCCGACCUGCACGAAUGGCGUAAUGAUGGCCAGGCUGUCUCCACCCGAGACUCAGUGAAAUUGAACUCGCUGUGAAGAUGCAGUGUACCCGCGGCAAGACGGAAAGACCCCGUGAACCUUUACUAUAGCUUGACACUGAACAUUGAGCCUUGAUGUGUAGGAUAGGUGGGAGGCUUUGAAGCGUGGACGCCAGUCUGCGUGGAGCCAACCUUGAAAUACCACCCUUUAAUGUUUGAUGUUCUAACGUUGGCCCCUUACCGGGGUUGCGGACAGUGUCUGGUGGGUAGUUUGACUGGGGCGGUCUCCUCCCAAAGCGUAACGGAGGAGCACGAAGGUUAGCUAAUCCUGGUCGGACAUCAGGAGGUUAGUGCAAUGGCAUAAGCUAGCUUGACUGCGAGCGUGACGGCGCGAGCAGGUGCGAAAGCAGGUCAUAGUGAUCCGGUGGUUCUGAAUGGAAGGGCCAUCGCUCAACGGAUAAAAGGUACUCCGGGGAUAACAGGCUGAUACCGCCCAAGAGUUCAUAUCGACGGCGGUGUUUGGCA
rnacentral:rRNA from 1 species